rnacentral:tRNA from 1 species
GGCCGCAUGCCCGAGUGGUCAGGGAGCCGCCUGCAAAGCGGCGCACGUUGGUUCGAAUCCAUCUGCGGUCU